rnacentral:rRNA from 1 species
UACGAGGGGGGCGAGCGUUGUUCGGAAUCACUGGGCGUAAAGGGUGCGUAGGCGGGUCUUUAAGUCAGGGGUGAAAUCCUGGAGCUCAACUCCAGAACUGCCUUUGAUACUGAGGAUCUUGAGUUCGGGAGAGAUGAGUGGAACUGCGAGUGUAGAGGUGAAAUUCGUAGAUAUUCGCAAGAACACCAGUGGCGAAGGCGGCUCACUGGCCCGAGUACUGACGCUGAGGCACGAAAGCGUGGGGAGCAAACAGG